rnacentral:lncRNA from 1 species
GGGUAUGCAUAAUCGAUCGAUAUGAACUCACGCUUAAUCAUAUUUCACUGAAAUUAAGCAACAAGCUAGCCAAAUAGCAGAGGGAAUUAACUGACUGUUGCGUUUAAUUUGUGCAUAUGCAGGAGCUCUGGUGGGCUGGAGAUGGCCGGCGGGGAGGAGAGCGGCGGCUGCGACUGCACCACCUGCAAGUGCGGCACCGCCUGCGGCUGCUCCUGCUGCACCUGCAACUAGAGCCACACACCAGCGACCAUGAGGAAUGAGGAUCGAUCCAGGAUCUAGGACAACUGCACUGCAAGCAUGCACCCACCAUCGCCGCCCAGCUAGCUAGCUUACUAGCCAGUUAGCUGCUAAAUAAAAUAAAAUCUUCUGUCAAGUCACCAACUCGAUCACGACCGUAUUGUUCAUCCGACACGAUCCAU